rnacentral:rRNA from 1 species
GAUGAACGCUAGCGGCAGGCCUAAUACAUGCAAGUCGAACGGGGAAAGCUUUCGGGUGAGUACUAGUGGCGCACGGGUGAGUAACGCGUGGAUAAUCUGCCUUAGAGUGGGGGAUAACUAGUCGAAAGAUUAGCUAAUACCGCAUAAGACCACAAGAACUGCGGUUCAAGGGGUCAAAGGUUUUUCGCUCUAAGAUGAGUCCGCGUAAGAUUAGCUAGUUGGUGAGGUAAUGGCUCACCAAGGCGACGAUCUUUAACUGGUCUGAGAGGAUGAUCAGUCACACUGGAACUGAGACACGGUCCAGACUCCUACGGGAGGCAGCAGUAGGGAAUAUUGCACAAUGGAGGAAACUCUGAUGCAGCGACGCCGCGUGAGUGAUGAAGGCCUUCGGGUCGUAAAGCUCUGUCGCAAGGGAAUAACACAAUGAAUGUACCUUGCAAGAAAGGAUCGGCUAACUUCGUGCCAGCCGCCGCGGUAAUAC